rnacentral:rRNA from 1 species
AUGGGCCGGGCCGCUAGUCGUCGCCGCAAGUCACUGAAUCUCGUCCGUGUGUCCCGUCCAGCCCAGCAACGUGCGGUGAAGGAGAGCAUUAGGGUAUAUAUCAUCGCGUCGCAUCUCCCUCCGCAGGCGUUCCCCUGCCGCCGCCUCCUAUGUGAACAUCUUCUUCACAUCUCCCACCGCAGCAGUCUCCUGGCGCCGCCUCCGAUCUUUGCAUCUUCUUCACAUCUAUCUCCGGUACCUCUCUCGUUCUUUUCCUUUGCGGUGGAGUCUAUUAUCCAGAAUUUUCACGAUAUACCAAAACAAGGAGGAAGUAGAGAGGAAGGGGUGUCAUGGCUAGCCGAUUUCUUUUACCCAACCGGAUCGCCAGUUCCCAAACAAGGUUCAGCUUUUGUACCACCGGACGAAAUUCAGCUGCCUCCGGCCACCAUCGCCUUCGACUGGCCCUCCCGGCAGGGCCAACCCUGCUCAAUGGAUUUCAUGGCCUUCGGCGCCAACCGGGAUAAGAUCGUCGCCGUGGACAGCAUAGGGUGCUCCUACCUUUACGACGCUCCCGUACGCAGUAUCAGCACCAAUAUGCCCAUGAUGCCCACGCGCAUGCUACAACCCAUGUCCAUUGCUGUCGGUGACAACGGCCUGUUAGUUAUGAGUAAAGCCGAUCACCAGUUCGUGGCUCUGAAUGAUGGCUGCGACCCCAAUUCCAGAUAUUUAUUACCAAUGUCUGGCUGGUACUGGCAGUCCCUCAAGCCGCCUCCCUUCCCCAGCCGCUCCUACCACCAGAACGAGAAAGGCAGUCACCAUCCAUUUGAAGUCAGCUCUUACACGGUAGUUGGCAAUUCACAGUUCUGGGUGUCCACAGUGGGUGCAGGCACGUUUUCCUUUGAUAUGAACAGCGGUGCGUGGAUGAAGGCUGGCAAUUGGGAGCUGCCAUUCAGAGGUCGUGCCGAGUAUGUCCCCGAGCACAAUCUCUGGUUUGGCAUGUUUGGCAAAGACGACCAGCUUUGCGCAUCUGACCUCAUUGCCGUGUCCGCAGUGAGCUCACCAGUGCCACAUAUACUUUGGAAAGAGCUGGUUUGGCCGAAAGAUUGGAAGCUCAGGUCGACCCACCUCCUGCCUCUUGGUUCUAGCAGACUCUGCAUUGCCAGGUUCUUCCUAACUUCAGAUGAUGACAAGGAAGAGAACAUGUCAGACUAUAAGCGCAGCACAACAAAUAAUUUUGGGGUGCUCACGGGGGUGGAAGUGGUGUCUGAUGAAGGAGGACUGCGCAUUAUCCAUCACAAGUCCAUUCGCUUCGAUUUCGGCCUCAGCAUUGCUAGUGUGCUGUGA